ensembl:lncRNA
GAGCUACCAACUCUCACGGUUUCGCCGUGUGACACACGCUUUUGCAUGUUUUCACACGCACUCACGCCACACAUCCAAUAUCUCACGGAUCUCAAGGACUCACUCAGAAGACUUUUCCAAACAACACUUUGAAUAGGUUUCCCCAUCUCCUCCCAUACCAUGGGCCAGAGGAGCAUGACCACCUGGGUGAGGAGUUUCUGAAUUAUCAGACCAUGCCAACCACCUCCCUUCAGGACGAAACUGAGAUGGAAAGCUUCUGGGCUGGAAUGGCAACACGGAAACAUAAG